AUUUUCUCAUGAAAGAUUCUUGUUAAAGUUGCUGUCAGUGACCUUGUAGAGAAACAUGCAUUCUAUCCAAUUUGGUACAGAAAAACUGGCACUACCAAAAGAGAUUGUGUCAUUGUUCCCCUCGUUAAGGAUUCAGGUGCCCUUUGGUGAAAAUGAGGGACAUGAGCAUUUUUUGCUGGGCCAUCACACAGUGGAUUUAUUGAAAUGAGAUUACGUAACAUCAGAUGGAAGCUUCAACAGAGCCAGCGGG